AGGUUGGAAUGAAAAUUCAAAUGGUGCCUUUCUUCUUUGUCGUCCGUUCACCAAUGGCUCACCGUGCCGGCGUCCUUCGCCGGCGCAGGUAUUGGUUUACGACUAAGCAAUACCACCAAUGGAUGCGCCACUGUAUGCUAAACAGGAAUAUGGAAAUGGAAUUGGGAAACAGUCCCGGAGUUGGUUGAAUCGAGCCUAAUCAUGGAAGAACCCUAACCUUCACAUCUCAAAUUAAAUGGCGCUUGGCCCUAGUUAAUCUCUAAUACCAUGGGGUUUCUACUUCCUAUCCUCAAUGCUACACUCCGGUACGCUCAAAGCAAGAAAACAUCACAGAAGAGAAACAGACUUACCAAGAGAAGACGAUCGGAAAACUUCAGCAGGGUCUGUGUCGUGGAGCGUCGGUACCUGGAACUGCCUGAUUAUUGACGCGAUUUUCAUCCGUUCGUAGGUUCCGUUCCUGGUACACACAUGAGCAACACGGUGUUUGUAUCCUAGCAACAUUGGUUAGGAAGUUGGCGUCCGCCGUAAUCCUGGAAGCAUCAAAUACUUCACGUUUGUUGGUCGCAUACCUUUUCUUGGCAAGAGUUCAGAUCUGAAGCAGCUCAGGGAGCAGUUCUGUGGGCAGCAUAGCAAGGCGUAUUUGCAGCAUUGCCGGUGUUGGCAUUUUGGUCGCGUUGCAGGUUGCACCGUUUACGCGAGUCGGACCUGAUUGUCAUACAUUACAGACUGGUGCAACUUAGUCGUUCUGCAUCAAGAUGAACUAUCAUCAGGAAGACGGAUUUGUUUAUGGUUGAAAAUGCAGGCUGCAUUGUUGAUGCUGGUAUGCCAAAUGUUUUCCAAUUGUUGGUGUAUGGUGGCCGAUUGUGUGACGUAUGCCUUCCCGUAAUGUGUGGUUCACUUGCUGUUGCAGAGUUUGAAGUUAGUGCCUCAUAACAGAUGCUUGGUUCUUUUUUGGUUCAGUUGGUGUUUUAAAGGUGGUUGAAGAUUCUGUUAUGGAAUUCAAUGCGGAUCUAAGUCGAAACUCAUGUUGAAGUUAGUUAGUCAGAGACUCAGACUUUAAUUAGAGCUGAGUCCAAAUGAAAUGAACAAUUCAAUUCACCAUCGCCUCUUGAAAUGCACAUGCUGUUAGUGACAGGUGAACGGUUUUGCGCUUUGUCGGGCAUGUGCAGGUGAAACUUCAGUUGCCGUUAGGAGAUGCAAAUGAAUCUUAUCUGUGAAUUCGGAGUUGAGUUACAACAUCCGGUUUUUCCUUGGCUAGUGGCUUUGUUGCAGAUUUGAUUGUUUGCUGCGUGUGUAGCUUUUAUUUCCUGCAGCUUGUGCUUUACAGCUUUGAUGUCGCGGCUUUUCGGUUAUGGCGUUAGCAGCUUUGGCUUUAAUUCAGAUAUUUGAGACAAACCUUUCAAUUCGUGCACCUUCGGAAGAAGUGCUUCAGUGGGUGCCUUCGGCAGCAAAGUGUGAUAACCAUUUUUCAUUGCCACAACCAUGUUUACGGUAUAGGUAUAGAAUAUACAUCUGUUUAUGCUCCCUAUGUCUCUUUCUUCACAUUCUGGGUCCCAUAUGACUUAAUGUGUAAAUGAGCAGGCUUUGUAGAAUUCUCAUAAUCCAAUCACCAUAUGAAUUAAAGUAUAAAUGAACAGUAAUGCUGGAUUCUUAAAUGAAAGAAAAGAAGAAUGAGCCUAUUAGUAA